rnacentral:rRNA from 1 species
GACGAACGCUGGCGGCGUGCCUAAUACAUGCAAGUAGAACGCUGAAGGAGGAGCUUGCUUCUCUGGAUGAGUUGCGAACGGGUGAGUAACGCGUAGGUAACCUGCCUGGUAGCGGGGGAUAACUAUUGGAAACAAUAGCUAAUACCGCAUAAUAGUAGAUGUUGCAUGACAUUUGCUUAAAAGGUGCAAUUGCAUCACUACCAGAUGGACCUGCGUUGUAUUAGCUAGUUGGUGGGGUAACGGCUCACCAAGGCGACGAUACAUAGCCGACCUGAGAGGGUGAUCGGCCACACUGGGACUGAGACACGGCCCAGACUCCUACGGGAGGCAGCAGUAGGGAAUCUUCGGCAAUGGACGGAAGUCUGACCGAGCAACGCCGCGUGAGUGAAGAAGGUUUUCGGAUCGUAAAGCUCUGUUGUAAGAGAAGAACGAGUGUGAGAGUGGAAAGUUCACACUGUGACGGUAUCUUACCAGAAAGGGACGGCUAACUACGUG